rnacentral:rRNA from 1 species
UACGUAGGGGGCGAGCGUUGUCCGGAAUUAUUGGGCGUAAAGGGCGCGUAGGCGGUUACUUAAGUCUGAUGUGAAAGUGCGGGGCUUAACUCCGUAAAGCAUUGGAAACUGGGCAACUUGAGGACAGGAGAGGAAAGUGGAAUUCCACGUGUAGCGGUGAAAUGCGUAGAUAUGUGGAGGAACACCAGUGGCGAAGGCGACUUUCUGGACUGUAACUGACGCUGAGGCGCGAAAGCGUGGGGAUCAAACAGGAUUAGAUACCC